AAUUUUUACCAUCCAAAUGUUUAAUGCAUUAUUCUUUUUGCCCCUUUGACCUGAUUUUAAUUGAUUUGGUUCUUUAGAUUAUUGCAUUCAUUUGUAUAUAGUGUUGUUAGAGGACAGCAAAGUGAUUUCAGAGGUAAAAGUGCACUUCAAUGUGAGGUGGCUGACAGUAGCCUGGAUGACCACGAAAUCAUCAUUCACCGUGCAAGAAAACAUCUGCUUCUUCAAUAAAAAAUAAAAAAGUGACAGGUACAAGACAGAUUAUAUGACGUUAAAAACUGUGUGCCAAAACCUGCAGUUCCUCCGAUGACCACUAGAGUCUGGCUCCAACAGUGAGUCAAUCCCCACAGACUCCCAUGUUAAAAUCUCCCAACUUUAAGUACAUAAUCUUUUUAGGAAUUUAUUCACCGACCAUUCUGUCUGUGAACGAGUCAGUGUCAGUGUGACUGUGGCCUGAGAACGCUCAUCUUGUUGUUCACACACGGCGAUAUGUCUCCUUUAUGCUGUGGUGUCAUUAGGAGCCAGGAUUACAAGGACGUUCUUCAUCAUUGCAGACAAGCGCGUCUGUGCCAUGAAAUAGCUCUUCUUGUUCCUGGACUGAACACAGUGUUUGGCUCUGAGUGAUUCCUGUUUCAUUAUCUGUCUCUGCUAAUGGGGGUGGAAUAAUGGCACAAAUCAUAUUAAUCACAGCAGACUCCAACCAAGUUGAUCAGAGGAAGCAGCCUGUAACUGAGCCUAUGAAUGACACAGACAGGAAGUGUACUGAUAGUAGCUGUGAUUCCCCUGAACAGAGAGAAAAAGGCAGUGACAC